CUCGGUGAGGCUGGGCCAGAUAUUACACUUGGAGCACUGAACUUGGAGCGUUGAACCGCAUCUGCGAAUGAACCCGUAUGCGCAGAAUGCAGGGCUGCUGGCAAUGGUUUGAAAAUGGGGAAUGAAGGUCUUUUCUGUACUCAGAAUUACAUGUCCAAGAUAGAGUGAAAAUGAAAGAACCUCAACUUUCCCAAAGAACACAUGAAGCUGCCGUAGAGAUGGGCUGAUGCACACUUGUUGUGGUUGUAAAAUGGUAUGCAGGCAGCCUCUGGAUACAUGGUGCAGUAGGGUUUUUAACAGAUGUACUCUCCGUAGAGCUCGCUUGAAUGAUUGGAUCAUGGUGUGAAGGCCAAGUUGAUGAGGCUUCUAAGAACAACAUGCCAAAGCAAUAAUUUUUGUAUUUUUGUAUGAACUUGUGAAUGUAAUUUUGUAAUACAACUUUGAAUGGGAUUUUAAAAUUUUAAAUGAUGACUGGUGUGAUGGAUUUCGAAUUUAGAAUUUGAUGAAUGUUGAAUGAUAUUUGCAACUUGGUCCUUUGAAUGGCCUUGAACUUGUAAU